rnacentral:misc_RNA from 1 species
CAACUCACAGGCACUGUUCCCCCACCUCUCACUGAAAGUGUUGGCGGAAAUCCAGAACUUUGUGCAUCGGUUUCAUGCAAUGAUAAUAACAAUAAGAAGAAGUACGUUGUUCCAGUAGCUGUAUCAGUUGCUGCAUUAUUUGUUAUUAUUGGAGCUGCACUGGCAAUAUGGAGAAGGAGCCUUAAAAGAAGAAAGAAACAAGAAGUAGAAGCUGGUGAGAUAAUG